rnacentral:rRNA from 1 species
AGAGUUUGAUCCUGGCUCAGAAUCAACGCUGGCGGCGCGCCUAACACAUGCAAGUCGAACGAGAAAGUGGAGCAAUCCAUGAGUAAAGUGGCGUACGGGUGAGUAACACGUGGAUUAUCUGCCCUUUUGUGGGGAAUACCGCUGGGAAACCGGCGACAAUACCGCAUAAGCCCGAGAGGGGAAAGCAGCAAUGCGCAGAAGGAGGAGUCCGCGGUCGAUUAGUUAGUUGGCGGGGUAAAGGCCCACCAAGACUGUGAUCGAUAGCCGGCCUGAGAGGGCACACGGCCACACUGGCACUGAAACACGGGCCAGACUCCUACGGGAGGCAGCAGUGGGGAAUCUUGCACAAUGGGGGAAACCCUGAUGCAGCGACGCCGCGUGAGCGAUGAAGCCCCUCGGGGUGUAAA